rnacentral:snRNA from 16 species
AUACUUACCUGGACGGGGUCAACAGCCGAUCAAGAAAGGUUGUGGCCUAGAUUAAUGACUCACAUUGCACUUGGUGAGUGCGUUGGUCUAUCAUCUCCCCAAGUGGGAGAGUGGACGUCAUAAUUUGUGAUAGAGGGGGUACGCGUCCGCGCGGCCCCUGC